UACGGGGGGGGCAAGCGUUGUUCGGAAUUACUGGGCGUAAAGGGCUCGUAGGCGGCCAACUAAGUCGGAUGUGAAAUCCCCAGGCUCAACUUGGGAACUGCAUCCGAUACUGGAUGGCUUGAAUUCGGGAGAGGGAUGCAGAAUUCCAGGUGUAGCGGUGAAAUGCGUAGAUAUCUGGAGGAAUGCCGGUGGCGAAGGCGGCAUCCUGGACCGACAUUGACGCUGAGGAGCGAAAGCUAGGGGAGCAAACGGG
rnacentral:rRNA from 1 species